UUACAUUCGCAUUGGUUUCACUCAAUUAGAGUCUUCGAAUGCAAGAAGCAAACCUGAUCGUUUUUGGUUGCAAAAUGGCAAGAAAUGAGAAGCUUCUUGUUGCUCUGCGAGACCUGGAUAAGCGCUGACAAUAUCAAAGAGAUGGCAGCUUGUUGGUAGCGCAAAGGGAGACAUGGAGAGAAUGUCAUUGCAUGUCAUGUUGAUUAGCAGUAAACCUCAGUUGGUCUGUGAUCUUCAUGGAAAAGGUCUUAACUGUGUGCAGCAGUUCUCAGUCUUCAUCACCUCCCUGCCAGCUCUUCCUUGCAAGUACUAAAUCUCUCUGAUCUCACUCACAUUCUCCUGGACCUCUGAGACCAACCAGAAAAUUCAACUGACCUCCUGCAGGCCUCCACUUCCAGAUUCUUGUUGCCUUUUGACAAUAAAGUGUUAAAAC